GGCCCUUGGGCGGCUUGUUGGGGCGCGGAACGGCGGCGCUCAUCCUGACCGUUGCGCCUGUGGAGGUUUGACCUUGGGUAAGGCGCCCAUCCCCAGUUUCCACCUCCAAAAGGAAGAAUUCUGGAUGGUGUGGACGCUUAUGGGAUAAUGCAUGUGAGCGAGGGAUCUGUGGGUGCAACUUCACCCCAGCACCUGGAGAAACGUCUCAGAAACUAGGAAACUAAGCAAACUGUCAUGAAGCUUCUGCCCACAUCCCUGCUAUGUACCCCGCCCGCGCCCAGCCCGGAACCUGACACACGGAGCAGGCAGAGCUCAGUACACAGCCCUGCAGCUGCACCUUCUCCAGUCUGGGCCGGGCCGCCCUCCUCGCUGUCCCCGACGCCAGCACGGAAGUAGUGGACAUUGAAACUACUAUUUUGGUGCAUUUGUCGUAUUUGAAGCUGGCCGUGUUAUGGUCUGACACACAGUAGGGCGGCCUGAUGUCGUGUGCAGCCUGUGAAUCUUUCCACACUCGGGCACCUGUGAAGUCGCCACCGUCAGGGCGCAGGACCCUGCCAGUCACCCCUCAGGCUCCCUUCCACACCCAGAGGACCCCCGUUCCGACCUCCACCACUAUUGAUUAGUUUCUCCCACUUUUCUGCCCGGCUUGUUACACUCAAUACAAUGUCUUGGAGAUUCUUCGAUUUUUGAAUUCUUGGAUUUUGUCGCGCGUGGCAAUGGUUAUUUCCUGGAGCGCGUGCCGCAGUCUGUUAUACGUUUCCCACUGAUGGCAUCUGCACCGUCACCAGUUUGGGGCUGUGAUAAUAAAACCGUU